rnacentral:rRNA from 1 species
CCUACGGGAGGCAGCAGUGGGGAAUAUUGGACAAUGGGCGAAAGCCUGAUCCAGCAAUGCCGCGUGAGUGAUGAAGGCCUUCGGGUCGUAAAGCUCUUUUACCAGGGAUGAUAAUGACAGUACCUGGAGAAUAAGCUCCGGCUAACUCCGUGCCAGCAGCCGCGGUAAUACGGAGGGAGCUAGCGUUGUUCGGAAUUACUGGGCGUAAAGAGUACGUAGGCGGUUAUUCAAGUCAGAGGUGAAAGCCCGGGGCUCAACCCCGGAACUGCCUUUGAAACUAGAUAACUAGAGUCUUGGAGAGGUUAGUGGAAUUCCGAGUGUAGAGGUGAAAUUCGUAGAUAUUCGGAAGAACACCAGUGGCGAAGGCGACUAACUGGACAAGUACUGACGCUGAGGUACGAAAGCGUGGGGAGCAAACAGGAUUAGAUACCCUGGUAGUCCACGCCGUAAACGAUGAUAACUAGUUGUUCGGUCACUUGGUGUACUGUAGUGACGCAGACUACGACAUUAAGUUAUCCGUCCGUCGGGUAGGUACGGUCGUCGAGAAUUAAAACUAACAAUAAGUAAUUAGUACGGCGUGAGACGUGCCGAACGGACGACGACGAGGGAGGUAGG